AUACCAGCACCCCGAGUGGUCGGGACGAUUAUUGGGCCUAAAGCAUCCGUAGCCGGUUCUGCAAGUCUCCCGUUAAAUCCAACUGCUCAACAGGUGGGCUGCGGCGGAUACUACAGAGCUAGGAGGCAGGAGAGGCAAGCGGUACUCAGUGGGUAGGGGUAAAAUCCGCUGAUCCAUUGAAGACCACCAGUGGCGAGGGCGGCUUGCCAGAACGCGCUCGACGGUGAGGGAUGAAAGCUGGGGGAGCAAACCGGAUUAGAUACCCGGGUAGUCCCAGCUGUAAACGAUGCAGACUCGGUGAUGGGCUGGCCUUGUGCCAGCCCAGUGCCGCAGGGAAGCCGUUAAGUCUGCCGCCUGGGGAGUACGGUCGAAAGACUGAAACUCAAAUGAAUUGGCGGG
rnacentral:rRNA from 1 species